rnacentral:rRNA from 1 species
GACGAACGCUGGCGGCGUGCCUAACACAUGCAAGUCGAGCGGAGAUAUUAGCAAUAAUAUUUUAGCGGCGGACGGGUGAGUAACGCGUGGGCAACCUGCCUUUCACUGGGGGAUAACACAGAGAAAUUUGUGCUAAUACCGCAUAACAUCACGAGAUGACAUCAUCUUGUGAUCAAAGGAGUAAUCCGGUGAUUGAUGGGCCCGCGUCCGAUUAGCUAGUUGGUGGUGUAACGGACCACCAAGGCGACGAUCGGUAGCCGAACUGAGAGGUUGAUCGGCCACAUUGGGACUGAGACUCGGCCCAGACUCCUACGGGAGGCAGCAGUGGGGAAUAUUGCGCAAUGGGGGAAACCCUGACGCAGCAACGCCGCGUGAAGGAUGAAGGUUUUCGGAUUGUAAACUUCUUUGAUUGGGGACGAAAUAAAUGACGGUACCCAAAAAACAAGCCACGGCUAACUACGUGCCAGCAGCCGCCGUAA